rnacentral:rRNA from 1 species
AUGCACGCUGGCGGCGUGCCUAAUACAUGCAAGUCGCGCGAACAGACGAGGAGCUUGCUCCUCUGACGUUAGCGGCGGACGGGUGAGUAACACGUGGAUAACCUACCUAUAAGACUGGGAUAACUUCGGGAAACCGGAGCUAAUACCGGAUAAUAUAUUGAACCGCAUGGUUCAAUAGUGAAAGACGGUUUUGCUGUCACUUAUAGAUGGAUCCGCGCCGCAUUAGCUAGUUGGUAAGGUAACGGCUUACCAAGGCAACGAUGCGUAGCCGACCUGAGAGGGGGAUCGGCCACACUGGAACUGAGACACGGUCCAGACUCCUACGGGAGGCAGCAGUAGGGAAUCUUCCGCAAUGGGCGAAAGCCUGACGGAGCAACGCCGCGUGAGUGAUGAAGGUCUUCGGAUCGUAAAACUCUGUUAUUAGGGAAGAACAAAUGUGUAAGUAACUAUGCACGUCUUGACGGUACCUAAUCAGAAAGCCACGGCUAACUACGUG